ACGAUUCUCGUUUGAGAAACGUUAUCGAAAUGAGUACGCUUUACACACGCUAACGAGUAGCAAUUGGAGGGCAAGUCUGGUGCCAGCAGCCGCGGUAAUUCCAGCUCCAAUAGCGUAUAUUAAAGUUGCUGCGGUUAAAACGCUCGUAGUUGAAUUGUGGUCUUAGACAACAGUCCCCCUACAAAGGUGUGGCACGGUUGCUCGAGAUCUUCAUUCGUGGUUGCUGUUGUUGCUCUUCAUUGAGUGUCAAUGGUGCCUCGAGAUUUUACUUUGAAAAAAUUAGAGUGCUCAAAGCAGGUUGUGAUGCCUGAAUAAUGGUGCAUGGAAUAAUAGAAUACGAUCUCGGUUCUAUUUUGUUGGUUUUCGAACCGGAGAUAAUGAUUGAAAGGAACAGACGGGGGCAUUCGUAUUGCUGCGUUAGAGGUGAAAUUCUUGGAUCGCAGCAAGAUGAACAAUUGCGAAAGCAUUUGCCAAGAAUGUUUUCAUUAAUCAAGAACGAAAGUUAGAGGUUCCAAAGGCGAUCAAAUACCGCCCUAGUUCUAACGGUAAACUUAUGCCAACCCGCGAUUUCCCCCAAAUUUCAUUUUAAGAACUCCGGCGAAGCAGCUUCCCGGGAAAACCAAAGUGUUUUCGGUUUCCGGGGGAAAGUAUGGGUUUGCCAAAGCUGAAACUUUAAAAGGGAAUUUGACGGAAGGGGCACCCCCCCUGAAGUGGAAGCCCGGCGGCUUUAAUUUGACUCCCACCCCGGGAAAAACUCACCCCGGCCCCCGAACACUGGGAAAGGAAUGAAAAAAUGACAGCUCUUUCUUGAUUUCGUGGGGAGUGGGUGGCAUGGGCCGUCCUUAGUUGGGGGGAAGCGAUUUUGUCUGGGUUAAU
rnacentral:ncRNA from 1 species